UUGAUGGCGACCGGCGCACGGGUGAGUAACACGUAUCCAACCUGCCGACGACUCGGGGAUAGCCUUUCGAAAGAAAGAUUAAUACCCGAUGGCAUAGUUCUUCCGCAUGGUAGAACUAUUAAAGAAUUUCGGUCAUCGAUGGGGAUGCGUUCCAUUAGGUUGUUGGCGGGUAACGGCCCACCAAGCCUUCGAUGGAUAGGGGUUCUGAGAGGAAGGUCCCCCACAUUGGAACUGAGACACGGUCCAAACUCCUACGGGAGGCAGCAUG
rnacentral:rRNA from 1 species